CCCUAAGCCUUUUCUGCAGCGGACGCCUCCAAAUCCUGGUUGCCUCGCUUAUUUGACCUCUCUUCAAUCGAUGCUUCUUCUGAUGGUAAAGUCUCUCUUCGUGUUCGAAAUGGCAGACCGAUGAGCGCUUUGCUGGGCUACUGAUGCCGGAAGUGUGUUGCUUUGUGCUGUUAAUGGCUUAGCGUUUUCCUGUAUGUGGUUUCUAAUCGGUAAAUCUUCCUUCGUGGGUUGUCGGGGUCGUCGAUGAUGAUAAAUUCUAAGGCUUGUUUCUCAAAACAUUCGCAGUGGCCGCCUGAGAGCUUUCGCCUCGCCGGGCUUGAGAGCUUAUGCUGCUCAAUUUUUCCUUGGAUGUCUGAGAUUGAUCCCUGUGUUGUCGAUCGGCUUUUUUAUUAUUUUUCGUUGUGUUAAGAAUCCUUUUGAUUUCUGUAAAGUUUCUAAAUUUUCGUGCUAGACGUCGAUGAUGAGAGAUCCUAAGGCUUGUUUCUCAAAACAUUCGCAGUGGCCGCCUGAGAGCUUUCGCCUCGCCCGGCUUGAGAGCUUGUGCUGCUCUGUUUUCCCUUCCUUGGAUGUCUGAGAUCGAUAAACACAUUAAAUUGUCGCGAUAUUUUUCGAUGUGUUUUUAGCUUUUUGAAUUGUUACAGCUUUAAAUCUCAAUUUUUUUCCUUCUCUAUAUCCAUUUUUAUGCUUGAUUCCAAUGACGAUAAAUUCAAAGGCUUGUUUCUCAAAACAUUCGCAGUGGCCGCCUGAGAGCUUUCGCCUCGCCGGGCUUGAGAGCUUGUGCUGUCCUGUUUUCCCUUGGAUGUCUGAGAUCGAUCAACAAAUUAAGUUGUCCCGAUGUUUUUUGAUGUGUUUUUUAGAUUUUUCAAUUGUUAAAGCUUUAAAUCUCAAUUUUUUUUCAUUCUCUUAAUUCAUUUUUAUGCUUGAUUCCAAUGGCGUUAAAUUCAAAGGCUUGUUUCUCAAACCAUUCGCUGUGGCCGCCUGAGGGCUUCCGCCUCGCCGGACUUGAGAGCUUGUGCUGCUAGAUUCUCCCUUCCUUGGAUGUCUUAGUUUUAGACUAGUGAUUGAUUUAUGCUCGAUCUUUAUUUGAUUGUCUAGAAGCAUUAAAGUUGUUUCUUUUAACUACACUGAAGUUCGCCAUUGAUGACAAAUCUAAGGCUUGUUUCUCAAAACAUUCGCAGUGGCCGCCUGAGAGCUUUCGCCUUGACGGGCUUGAGAGUAGUGCUGCUCAAUUCUUCCUUGGAUGUCUGAGUUCCUUUCCGAAUCAUGCUCUAUAAAUUAGUUCUCUCCUACGGUGUCUGCUAGUCUUAGCUUUUGUACUUGAAGAGUAGUUAUGAUUGUUCGAUCACUAAAUUUGGUUGUUAUCACGUUGCAUCUUUGGUUUUACAUUGAUACUAGCUGCAUGCCAUUGUGUCUCAAUGUGUCGCAGUGCAUCUCUGAAUGUGUUCGGCUACAACAAACUAUUCACAUUGUUUCUAUUCAUCGAGCUUUGUUUGAUACUGUCUCCUUCUUCCAAAGAUCAUAUUGUUCAUCGUAGCUCAUCAUUUCUAGUCGUAACAGAUCUCGAUAAUGUUUGACGUGUUUUCAUCUAAAUACGAUUUAUAUUAUGUAGCUAUUGGUGUCAAUAAUUGGAUUUAAGUUGAUGUUCUAGUUUAGUUCUGAUCACUUGUUUAGCCGCUCCCAUUCCAAGCAUCACUUUGGUUCUUUGUUGUCGAGUCUUUAAUGUCACUGAUCGUCUAUACUGGUGUACGAAACAUCCAGUAUGUGUGUAUGCGUAUUCCCUUGUACAUGACAGUCUCAUGCUGGAAGGACGUAAAAGGAAGUAUGUUAUUUAGUCUUCAUGGUGGUCGCCACGCUGCCUUAAUUCUGGCCGUGACGACAAAAUCCCUAUUGUUUGCACCCUUCAAAAGCAAUCAAGGAGGCUCCACUUGGAAGAUUGGUUGUACUAAAUUAUGUGACAUGCUUGUCUGAAGUUUAUUUUUUAGAUGCCUGAAGUAUCUUAAGUUAACAUACAAGACCUGUUACGAUACUAUAAUAAACUUUAAAUCCGUGAACUCAGAAUAUUGAACUCUUAAUAUAAUGAUAUCAUAUGCCCUUUUUUAAAUAAAUAAAAAUUAUUUUUUUAAAAAAAUAUGGCAUGGUUUAUUGUAACAAAAAAAAUCUCGAGAUUGAAUAGUAGUAACUAUUGUUGUUGUGGUGGUUUUGAUUUUAGGCAAUUUUUUUAACAUGUGUGCAUAGAGUGUGAGAUCAAGAAAAUACCCUCUUAGAUUCCUAGAGAGUUCAUUAAGCUACAUUCGAAACCGAAUUAUGCCAUCAACGGAUGUAAAUUAAUGCACUGUUAUUUCAUAUUGUGUCAAGAUUAAUUUUGUGUUGUGACAAUAAUAAUUCAAAUAUAGUUAUUUGUGUCUCGGACCUCCUAAUCUGGCAUAUCGCAACCAGCAGGUUUACCUAAAUCAUAUAUCUACGAAUUAAAACCCCAAUACCUGCCUGAGAUAAUUGAAGUUAUUAUGUUACGAUCUUUAACAACGAAAUCUCUGAUGACGUGCACCUUUUUGUCUGAAUAGUAUGGAAAAAAGUCAGUGAUGUGGUAGGCUAUAUUGACUGCACCUCAAUGUUUUGGAAUUUAAGAAAACUCUUUUUAGUUUUUCUUAAGUAGAAAGGUCUUUGGUUGGUUGUUUACAAAUCAACUUUCCACUUCUUUUCUUCGUUCCAUCGUAACCACCAAAAUGUUUUUUUUUUCUUUUAUAUAAACAUAUAUAUAUAUAUAUAUAUAUGAUAUUCUUUUCCUUAUUUUUCACAACAACAAAAAGAGAAGUGGUCAUUGCUCUUACAAUUAUACUUGUAUAAAACACCUACAAGCAGCCUCAACCUCUACCCUUCAUCAUUCACACACCAGUUGUUGUUCUGUUUGCAGGAACACAGGGAAGAUGGUGGUGAUGGGGCACCAACUAGAAAAGCUGGUGGGCAGCCUCAAGGCCAAGCUGAAGUCACUGAAGGGGAAGAAGCCUUAUGAUAAGAUGGGCAAGACGGAUAGCAUGAGGGUGGAGAUCAGAAGCAAGAGGGCUCAGAAGUUCAUAGCCAAGAACCUUAAGACGGCCGACUCCAUGGGAAAAAAAAGCUAUGCCUUUUAGUUCCAGCACUAGUGUGAUUUUCCUGUAAUGAACUUUCUCUCUCUCUCUCUCUCUCUCUCUCUCUCUCUCUCUCUCUCUCUCUCUCUAUAUAUAUAUAUAUAUAUAUAUAUAUAUAUAUAAUUUAGAUAUUCCCACCCACCAUGAUGAAGGGAUGGAAGCUGUUCUCGGCUUGUUUAUCUUACAUGCUGUUUUCUAAAAGAUCCACUGGCAAGAAUCAUGUGUGUGUUAUGAGAAAGAACACUGCUGUUUAGUUUGUCUUGAGCAUCUUCAAGCUCAAACUUGCACCUUUUCUUUUUCGAGAAAAUUAACAUGAUUUUGAGGGUGUACCUUAUUUUUCUGUUCAAGACAUGGGGUUUAAACUUGGCUAA